rnacentral:rRNA from 1 species
GCAGUCGAACGCCCCGCAAGGGGAGUGGCAGACGGGUGAGUAACGCGUGGGAACAUACCCUUUCCUGCGGAAUAGCUCCGGGAAACUGGAAUUAAUACCGCAUACGCCCUACGGGGGAAAGAUUUAUCGGGGAAGGAUUGGCCCGCGUUGGAUUAGCUAGUUGGUGGGGUAAAGGCCUAUCAAGGCGACGAUCCAUAGCUGGUCUGAGAGGAUGAUCAGCCACAUUGGGACUGAGACACGGCCCAAACUCCUACGGGAGGCAGCAGUGGGGAAUAUUGGACAAUGGGCGCAAGCCUGAUCCAGCCAUGCCGCGUGAGUGAUGAAGGCCUUAGGGUUGUAAAGCUCUUUCACCGGAGAAGAUAAUGACGGUAUCCGGAGAAGAAGCCCCGGCUAACUUCGUGCCAGCAGCCGCGGUAAUACGAANGGGGCUAGCGUUGUUCGGAAUUACUGGGCGUAAAGCGCACGUAGGCGGAUAUUUAAGUCAGGGGUGAAAUCCCAGAGCUCAACUCUGGAACUGCCUUUGAUACUGGGUAUCUUGAGUAUGGAAGAGGUAAGUGGAAUUCCGAGUGUAGAGGUGAAAUUCGUAGAUAUNCGGAGGAACACCAGUGGCGAAGGCGGCUUACUGGUCCAUUACUGACCCUGAGGUGCAAAGCGUGGGAGCAACCAGAUUAGAUCCCUGGUAG